rnacentral:lncRNA from 1 species
ACCGAAAGGGGCAACAAGCAUCUACAUCACGGAAGCUGGAGACUCCAGCAACUACCUCGCUCUCAGAUCGAAGCUGUCGUCUAAAAACGGUACAUUCUACCUGAACGGUGACUACCACAUCGACUUCCCGAGGAGUAUGUCCAUUGCCGGAGCAACCUGGUACUACGAGAGGAAUCAACAGGGCUUGCCUGCCCCGGACAGGCUGAGAUGCCAAGGGCCGAUCGACGAACCUCUUGUUUUAGUGCUCUUGCUCCAAGACCAGAACGUAGGAAUCGAAUACGAG